rnacentral:rRNA from 1 species
UGGGGAAUUUUGGACAAUGGGCGAAAGCCUGAUCCAGCAAUGCCGCGUGUGUGAAGAAGGCCUUCGGGUUGUAAAGCACUUUUGUCCGGAAAGAAAUCCUUGGCUCUAAUACAGUCGGGGGAUGACGGUACCGGAAGAAUAAGCACCGGCUAACUACGUGCCAGCAGCCGCGGUAAUACGUAGGGUGCAAGCGUUAAUCGGAAUUACUGGGCGUAAAAGCGUGCGCAGGCGGUUUGCUAAGACCGAUGUGAAAUCCCCGGGCUCAACCUGGGAACUGCAUUGGUGACUGGCAGGCUAGAGUAUGGCAGAGGGGGGUAGAAUUCCACGUGUAGCAGUGAAAUGCGUAGAGAUGUGGAGGAAUACCGAUGGCGAAGGCAGCCCCCUGGGCCAAUACUGACGCUCAUGCACGAAAAGCGUGGGGGAGCAAAACAGGAUUAGAUACCCUGGUAGUCCACGCCCUAAAACGAUGU